AGUGAACGCUGGCGGUAGGCCUAACACAUGCAAGUCGAACGGCAGCACAGUAAGAGCUUGCUCUUACGGGUGGCGAGUGGCGGACGGGUGAGGAAUACAUCGGAAUCUACUUUUUCGUGGGGGAUAACGUAGGGAAACUUACGCUCAUACCGCAUACGACCUACGGGUGAAAGCAGGGGAUCUUCGGACCUUGCGCGAUUGAAUGAGCCGAUGUCGGAUUAGCUAGUUGGCGGGGUAAAGGCCCACCAAGGCGGCGAUCCGUAGCUGGUCUGAGAGGAUGAUCAGCCACACUAGAACGUGGACACGGUCCAGACUCCUGCGGGAGGCAGCAGUGGGGAAUAUUGGGCAAUAGUGGCGAGCCUGAUCCAGCCAGACCGCGUGGGUGAAGAAAGCCUUCGGGUUGUAAAGCCCGUUUGUUGGUAAAGAAAAGCAUCAGGUUAAUACCCCGCUGUUCUGACGGUACCCAAAGAAGAAGCACCGGCUAACUUCGUG
rnacentral:rRNA from 1 species